rnacentral:tRNA from 1 species
UAGACUAAGUCCGUUAUUUUGGUAUUUAGCUGUUAACUAAAAGGUCGCAGGAUAAAAGCCUGCUAGUCUAG